rnacentral:piRNA from 1 species
UCUGAAGAAAGCUGACACCAACG